rnacentral:rRNA from 1 species
UACGUAGGGGGCAAGCGUUGUCCGGAAUCAUUGGGCGUAAAGCGCGUGUAGGCGGCCCGGUAAGUCCGUUGUGAAAGUCGGGGGCUCAACCCUCGAAUGCCGGUGGAUACUGUCGGGCUAGAGUGCGGAAGAGGCGAGUGGAAUUCCUGGUGUAGCGGUGAAAUGCGCAGAUAUCGGGAAGAACACCCGUGGCGAAGGCGGUUCUCUGGGACGGUACUGACGCUGAGACGCGAAAGCGUGGGGAGCGAACAGG